rnacentral:tRNA from 1 species
UGCCCAUGUAGCUCAGUGGAUAGAGCACGUCCCUCCUAAGGACGGUGUCGGGAGUUCAAAUCUCUCCAUGGGCGU